AUAGGUGUGUAUGUGAGAGGUACA
rnacentral:siRNA from 1 species